rnacentral:rRNA from 1 species
CCUACGGGUGACAGCAGUGGGGAAUAUUGGUCAAUGGGCGCAAGUCUGAACCAGCCAAGUCGCGUGAGGGAUGACUGCCCUACGGGUUGUAAACUUCUUUUAUAAAGGAAUAAAUUGAGGCACGUGUGCCUUUUUGCCUGUACUUUAUUACUACGGCACGGCUAACUCCGUGCCAGCGGCCGCGGUAAUACGGAGGAUCCGAGCGUUAUCCGGAUUUAUUGGGUGUAAAGGGAGCGUAGAUGGGUUGUUAAGUCAGUUGUGAAAGUUUGCGGCUCAACCGUAACAUUGCAAUUGAUACUGGAAGCCUUGAGUACAGUAGAGGUAGGCGGAAUU